CUUCUGCAGAGUUUUCACCCUAGUUAUACAUGAAGGCCUGAGAGUUAUACUUGCUUAAUUCAGCUUUGAAUUUCAGGUCCUGGCCUCCACUGGCUUCCAAGAGGCAGGCUGAUGGGAAAUCCAAAACAUUGUUCUCUGGCCUUUCAGAGGGAUUCCAAGGAGAGUGCUGAGCAUGGUUCCCUCUCCCCAUCUCAUCAACAGGAAGAGCACAUCAUUUCAAAUAUCGAAGUGGGUCCAUGUUUCUGUCAGGUGUCUCUGGACACACCUUAUGUAGUAUUAUCUCUCCUCUCAGAGCUGGGGAGAUUUCCAUCAUCUUCGUGGGAAGUUCGUGUUUCGAUUUGGAUUCCCAGCUUAUUGUGCAUGGCUUUUACCAAAAAACUUAUUUGAGCCCCAGUUUCAUGAUUUAAGACCUAAUAGUGAUAAUAAUAUUUAUUAAACUGGGAUGCUGAGAAGAUUGGAUAGAAAACCAUAAAUGCCUGGCUAAAUAAAUAUUUGUUUCUAUCUUUAUUUCUCCUUGCA
rnacentral:lncRNA from 1 species